CAGAUCUAGCUUGCUAGAUGCUGACGAGUGGCGCACGGGUGCGUAACGCGUAUACAAUCUACCUUUAACUGAGGGAUAGCCCAGAGAAAUUUGGAUUAAUACCUCAUAGUAUUAUAAUUAGGCAUCUUUUUAUAAUUAAAACUCCGGUGGUUAAAGAUGAGUAUGCGUACUAUUAGCUAGUUGGUAAGGUAAAAGCUUACCAAGGCAACGAUAGUUAGGGGGCCUGAAAGGGUGAUCCCCCACACUGGUACUGAGACACGGACCAGACUCCUACGGGAGGCAGCAGUGAGGAAUAUUGCACAAUGGAGGAAACUCUGAUGCAGCCAUGCCGCGUGCAGGAAGAAUGCCCUAUGGGUUGUAAACUGCUUUUAUACAAGAAGAAACCUCGGUACGUGUACCGACUUGACGGUAUUGUAUGAAUAAGCACCGGCUAACUCCGUGCCAGCAGCCGCGGUAAUACGGAGGGUGCAAGCGUUAUCCGGAUUUAUUAGGUUUAAAGGGUCCGCAGGCGGAAUAUUAAGUCAGUGGUGAAAGCCUACAGCUCA
rnacentral:rRNA from 1 species